rnacentral:rRNA from 1 species
CGAGUGAAGCGGCAACAGCUCAAAUUUGAAAUCUCAGGUAUUCUACUUGCGAGUUGUAAUUUGAAGAGGAUGUUUCGGUUGUGACCUAGGCCUAAGUUCCUUGGAACAGGACGUCGUAGAGGGUGAGAAUCCCGUACACGGCUGUAGGUUUACUUCCAUGUGUAACUCCUUCGAAGAGUCGAGUUGUUUGGGAAUGCAGCUCAAAAUGGGUGGUAAAUUUCAUCUAAAGCUAAAUACUGGCGAGAGACCGAUAGCGCACAAGUAGAGUGAUCGAAAGAUGAAAAGCACUUUGAAAAGAGAGUUAAACAGUACGUGAAAUUGUUGAAAGGGAAGCGUUUGCAAUCAGACUUGCUUUCAGUUGAUCAACGUUCCUUUUGGUUCGUGCACUCUGCCGUUUGCAGGCCAGCAUCGGUUGGAACAGUGGGACAAAGACUCAAGGAAUGUGGCUCUCUUCGGGGAGUGUUAUAGCCUUGUGUGUAAUGCCACUUGUACCGACCGAGGUCCGCGCUUUUGCUAGGAUGCUGGCUUAAUGGUUGU